rnacentral:snoRNA from 1 species
UUCCAGAAACUGUGAUGUAGUAUUUUUCAAGCACAUAGCUUACUGUGUAUGAGGAGUCAGCUGUUUCAGCGUGACUGGGC